AAUAUUGGACAAUGGGCGAAAGCCUGAUCCAGCCAUGCCGCGUGUGUGAAGAAGGUCUUCGGAUUGUAAAGCACUUUAAGUUGGGAGGAAGAGUUGUAGGCUAAUACCUUGCAAUUUUGACUAUACCAACAGAAUAAGCACCGGCAAACUUCGUCCCAGCAGCCGCGGUAAUACAGAGGGUGCAAGCGUUAAUCGGAAUUACUGGGCGUAAAGCACGCGUAGGUGGUUUGUCAAGUUGGAAGUGAAAGCCCCGGGCUCAACCUGGGAACUGCUUUCAAAACUGGCAAGCUAGAGUAUGGCAGAGGGCGGUGGAAUUUCCUGUGUAGCGGUGAAAUGAGUAGAUAUAGGAAGGAACACCAGUGGCGAAGGCGACCACCUGGGCUAAUACUGACACUGAGGUGCGAAAGCGUGGGGAGCAAACAGG
rnacentral:rRNA from 1 species